rnacentral:lncRNA from 1 species
GAAAAUUAUAACAAGUGAUUGACCCAAUUAUAAAUAGAAACAUUAGGAGUUAGAAGGGUCACUCUUGUUGAUUGUUGAAAAUAGAGAAGAGGGGAGGAGAAAAGGAGAAACCCUAGCUGCGACGGAAUCAAGCCAAAGCUGGAAUUUUCGAAGGGAUCGAGGUAAGGGGGAGAAUCUUUGCACUUUAGGGUAUCUUAAUCUAUGAUAUGAGGGUUGUCUUUUAAUAUGUUGUUGCUGUUAUGAUGUGAAUUUUGAUGAGAAAAUGAUGAUGAAAGAAUUGAAAGAUGAGAAUUGAGGAAAAACUAGUUUAGGUUUUUGAAUUGAGUUUUAGUCUUAAAAAGAGUGGAUAAUCUGGUAGGUUAACGAAGAAUUAGUGUUUGAAUGAUAGGGUGAUGAUGGAGUGAAGAUUAGGGUCGGGUUUGGCGAGUUUAGGGUCGAAAACGGAGUUAGGAAAGGUCCCUUAAUGCUAAAUCGCAGAGAAUCUGCAAUUUCUGUACCCGAAAUAAAAUCAAAAGCUGGGACUUUUCUGUUCCGAAUUAGGUUUCGAUGUCUUCUUGAAAGUUGUAGAUAUGACUGUUAGCUUUAAUUUGGUGUUUGUUUGACCUCAUUCCAACAUGUAGAACUCAAGAUAUGAUCAAAAUACUACACAUAGGUCAGCUGGGUCGUGAUCUUUUCAAUUUCUGUAACCGAAAAAGAAAAAUAAAAGCUGGCACUUUUUGGUUCAUAAUUAGGUUUUUAUGUCUUCAUGAAAGUGGUAGAUAUCGAUGUUAGCUUUCACUAGCCUUUGGAGGGACUCUAUUUAAGUAUCUAUAACUCAAGAUAUGAUGAAAAUAGUGCACAGGGGUCAGCAGGGUCGUCUUCUUUCCCCAAACAUAGGAAAAGUCAAUUUUUCUGCCACUUUAUGUUCCAAAUAAGGUUUGGGAGUCUUCAUGGAAGUUGUAUAUGUGUGUGUUAGCUUUCAUUCCCCAUUAUUCUGAAUCCAUUAGUCGCUCUAUAACUUGAGUUAUGAUUUAAACACCACGUCUGGGUCAUGCUGCGUUGUUAAUGAAAUUUUAGCACAAUUCUUCUAGUGGACUCUUCAACUCCUAUAAAAGCAAUAGUAACUUUAAGAAAUCCAUUAGUGUUUAAAGUAAAAGUCAGGACCCCUAGGCUACAUAUCUAUACGAGGGAAUGUGUUCGAGCAUAAAAGAAAGCGGUUGUUUCGAGAUGAAAGCAAGUCUAAAUAUGAACCAAAGAUAGUAACCUAUGAGAACCUAAUGAUGCUAAAGACGGCCUAGCAAUAGGGAGCGAAAUACAAUGAUUGGAGGGGGGGACAGGGGUGACGUUUAAGAUAGAUGACUAAAACAGUGAAGUAGUUUAAGUAUAGAAGGGGAAGUAGAAGAGGUAUAGAUAGGUUGUUCAUGGCGGAGUGACAAUGACGAGAGUAAUCCCUUAGGGUAUUUAAAAAAGUCUAAUGUGGCAAGUCUAUCACCAGAGCAUAAAAUAGGAAAGAUAUAAAGAAGUGAAAAAGACGAUGAUGAGCGAGGAUAUGAAAUAGGUGCUUUUCGAGUAACCGACUAAGUCAAACUUAAUCUCUGUAAACCAACGAUGAGCUUAGGAGUAUUGUUAAUUGAAGAGUGAGAUGGUAAUCAAAUAACUUCAGGCAAAUGUUAUAUAAGAACGUAUGAAGUGUAAAAACGAAUAAAGAAUAUAGUGUAGUCGAAUUAGGGGAUCGUAGAAGAAAUGUAAGGAAGAAUAGAGAGUUGUGAAUUAAGUAAUGAAAGAUAAUAGGAAUGAUGAUAUUGAUGAGUAAGAUGGGAAUCGAUUAGAAGAGACCAAUUAAGAUGAAUAGGAAAGAAAGCAGAUAAGAGGUAAUAGUUAUAAUGUUUGACGAUAAUAAUAAUGACUGGUAUCGAGAGAAUGAAACCUUGAAUUAUAAUGAAGUCUUGGUGAGGGAAGUUUAUGAAGUCGAAAGUAAUGAUAAAGUGCGAUAAUAACUUUAAAUUAGAACGAGGUUCAGAUUAGGAGAAUGGUUUACGUAUAGAUGAAGAUCAAUGUGAGGACGAAGUAAUAAAAUGUAAAGGUGCAUUAAUGAGAUAAUAUGUAUAAGGAGUUAAUGACGAUGGUUAGGUAGAACCUAUUUGUAAAGGGAGGAGAUGUUAUGAUAACGAAUAAGUAAACAAAUUAAGACUAAGAAUGAGAAAUAUGGUAUGAUAUCAUAAUAAAGUAUAUAUAGAUCCUAGAAUAGAUGAGAGAAUAGGGUAUGUCUGUGAUAUGGAUAAUAAAAUAAAAUAGAUGGUUAAUGACAUGGAAAUGAGUCGCGUGUAAUGGUUAGAUUAAUGAUGGGAUAAUAUGGUGAUAUAAAUGUCUUGAUAGGAACAAAAUGGUGAGGAGUCUUAGGACUAUAAUGAAGAGUGAUGAUGAGUAAUGUUAUGUAAACCUAUAAAUACGUGCGAUGAAAGUUGAUGAGGUUUGUAUCAUAAAGAUGAAGAGAGUGAUGAUGUUUAUAUUACGAUAUGAGAACUGAUGAUGUUUAUAUUAUAAUGAUGACGAGAAUGGUGAAGUUUAUUUCCAAUAAAAGAUGGGAGUGAGGAAGUUAAAGAUCAUAGAAAUAAGAAUAGGUGUUGUUUGUUUAUAUGAGUGAUGAACUUGGAGAUGUUUAAAGAGUAUAAGGACGAUAAUGGUGACGUUUAUUUUAGUUGAUGAAGAAAAUAAAGAGGUUCAAAAUAAUUACGGUGGAGACGUUGGAGAUGUUUAACAAUAUUUGGUGAUGUAAGCAGUGAUGGUUAUAUAUGGUGAUGUUUAGAGAGUAAGGUGAGGAAAUGGUUGAGAAUAUUUAUAAUUGGUGAUGAAAAUGGUGAUGUUUAAAUAUGGUAAUGUUCUUGUUUAUGUUGUGUGUUUUGCAUAUUAGGGAGAGUCGUGCAUUAAUGAAUGAUGUGUUAAUGAUGUGUUGAUGCGUAUUUACUUGACGAGUCAGUCCCCAUGCAUGCAUAGUAGAAUUAAGUCUAGGAAAAAUGGUGAUGAAAUGGUGAUGAAAAGUCCAGUAAUAUAUCUCUGGCAAUUUGAUGAUGAAAAGUCCAGUAACAUAUCUCUGGCAACUUGGUGAUGAUAGGUAUGGUACCACAUUCAUAUAGGUCUUAGGAAUGAGUCCAUAUGCAUUUAAAUGACGUACUUGUUCUUGAUAUUUUUAAAUGUGAAGUGUAAUAUGUUGGUGUGAUAUACGAUGUGUUGAGAAAGAAUAAUAGAUGUUGAUGAUCUUGUAAUGGUGAAAUAUUGUUCUUAUGAUAUUUUAAUAUUGUGAAUGUUUCCUUAUAAUAUGUUAUGGCUGGAUUUCUCACCCCUUUAUUGUUGUUGUAUUUAUGGUGUCUGUACCCGUGGGGUACAGAUACUUAGGACGCGGGACGCCUAGAAGGUUGCGACGGGACUUAUCUUCCGUCAAUUUUAUUUUAGUGAUGAUUAGACAUGUAGUAGAAUAUGAGCUCUGAUAUGUAACACCAGGGUUGACGUUGAGGAUGAAUAUAUUUAUCUUUGAGUUUA